UAGGAAGUAGUAUAGUGGAAGUACAGAGGGUUUUGAUCUCUCAAGUACAGGUUCAAGUCCUGUUUUUCUAA
rnacentral:tRNA from 1 species